GGCAGGACUCAGCCUGUACUAUACACAGACAGACCAGUGCGGCAUAACCAAUCAGAGCUGCAGUAGACCUAUAUGCAAAUAGACAAUUGCCGUAUGGAUCUGUGGUGUUUUCUUUUAUCUGAACUGUGUUGACAGCUGUGGUCUGAGUAGAUUAUCUUUAUCUUGUUUUGAGAUCAAAGCAUGAGCUGCAUGUAGCCAUGUGUCCACAUUUUGUUCAUGAUUUGUAGUCAGCAAUGGGGGCGUGAUUGCUUCCUACAAGAUCUCAAAAUGUGUGCAUUUCUAGACAUCUUUGAAAGGCAGGUCAGACUGCCAAGCUAUCCUGAAUUGGGGCACCUCUGUCCGGGACGAUGUCCUCAGGAUUAGGCAGCGUAAGUGUCACGAAAAGCCAGAAAACUCAGGAGAUUGAUGUGUUGCGGGCCCUCUGGAAAGUCCCGAAAUAUGCCCCUGAGCCGUGUUGGUGAAGGAAGCAAAAUCUGAGCCAUCACACGACUCUUCAAGAAGGUCACGACGCUCCAGAUCACCAUCUGUGCUCAGGGGUCCUCGAUGAGGAUCUACCCCAUCACACCACUCGUAUUGAUCAUGAAUCAAAUAAAACAAUGGGCCUUUAUAUACUCACAGUAUUUCUAUGCAUGUCAUUUCUGUUGAUGAAUUAUGAAACAAUUACUGUACACAGAUGUGUGAAAUUGUGAUGUAGAUUUGUUUUUGCCAUUGCUUGAUACAUUUUAAAUGUAAAAAAAAAAAUGUGUUGCAGAUUAACAUCAAUCGGUGACUAUGGAAACAAAUACAAAUGUAAUGAACAAUGUUUUUAAUAUCCAACUUUGUCCUCUGCAAUACUUUUUACAGUAAACUCUUAGGGGGAAAAAAGAGGUGCUGUCUAGAACCUAAAAGGGUUAUUUGGCUUUCCCCAUAGGAGAACCCUUUGAGGAAUCCUGUUUGGCUCCUGGUAGAACCCUUUUGGUUUCAGGUACUGUAGAACCCAUUUGGGUUCUAUGUAGGACCCUUUCCACAGAGGGUACUACAUGGAAACUAAAAGGGUUCUAUGUGGAACCAAAAAGGCUUCUCCCUAGAACUAAAAAGGGUUAUUCUAUAGAGACAGCUGAAGAACCGUUUUGGAACCCUUUUAUCUAAGAGUGUAGUAAUAAGCUGUAGUCAGGUAGUCAUUGCCAGGUUAUGAUGAGGUCUUAACUAUGACCAGUAGGCUACAUAAUAUAGCACAUAAAAUAGUGGUAAGAAUCCAACUGGUGGUAUGGCGGUCUGAAAAAUACGUUAAAAAACGUAAUUUUUCAAUCUGUUUGCGACCAGAAUAAGACAUGACGUCUUUCAACCAGGGUUUGCCCACUGGGUAGGCUCCUUAAGAGUACGUCUUGGGCUAGCUGAUGACAUGCAAAGUGUGUAUUCCCGUUAUACGGAUUUCCUCUGCAUAAUAUUGAUGUGUAGCCUAUCUGCAUUUCUCACUGGAUCACCCAGCUACGUUUGCAGGUUGCGUCCUCAGAUCCUGGGUGAAAAUGUCGAGGGUUAAUUGGAUUUGAUUCAGCCCACAUCUAUGCGAAAGCUUCCGAUUGCAGUGUAAAAAUCUAACUCACAUUCACAGCUACUGUUCACUGCACAACCGUAGCGUUCAACCCACUGACAUUAUAGGUUCAGCCCCAAAAGGAACAUCAUUAGAAAUUACAGUGAAAGAGACGCAACUGUGCUGUCAUUGCAAACGCGCACUCGAAACCAACUGCGUGUUUCAUCACUCCAAAACAGGGGUCAAUGCGAGCUACCAGGCUAAAUAUAGCAACGUAGUUAUAACACAUUAUGCGACAGAUACAUCCACAAUACUAAUGAAAAUGGUAAACAUACGAAAACCAGGAGCAUAUUUAAACAUCAAAAACCUAUGCGGCGAUCUACUGCACACUCCCCGGUAUUUCUAGCCUAGAUUACGAAUGUGGGUCACCAGGCCUUUUGAAACAAGCUUGCACAGCUAUGAAAAAAAUGCCUCGGUUUACUCCUCUUCAAUAUAACUGUGUCUACACAUAAACCUAUGACAGGCG